UUUACAAAGGUAUUGAAAUAAGAUUUUAAUUGAAUGCUAAGAGAAUGGAAUUUCAGAAAAAAACUUUUUUCAAGUUAAAAAUUGAAAUUUUUUUAAUUUGUGCAGAAACAAUUAUUAAUAUUAAGGACAAGAAGACCCUAUGAAUUUAUAAAUUUUAUUUAAUAUGUAACUACUAUUGAAAAAAUUUUAGCUGGGGCGGCGGAAAAAUAUUUAAAACUUUUUUAAAAUAAAAUGACCCAUUAUUAAUGAUUAUAUGUUAAAUACUCUAGGGAUAACAGCGUUAUAUUUUUUGAUAGAUCAUAUUGACAAAAAAGUUUGCGACCUCGAUGUUGGAUUAGGAUACUUUUUUAAUGCAGAUAUUAAAAAAAGAAGUUUGUUUCAACUUUUAAUUUCCU
rnacentral:rRNA from 1 species